rnacentral:misc_RNA from 1 species
GAUGAAGAACGUAGCGAAAUGCGAUAAGUAAUGUGAAUUGCAGAAUUCAGUGAAUCAUCGAAUCUUUGAACGCACAUUGCGCCCCUUGGUAUUCCGAGGGGCAUGCCUGUUCGAGCGUCAUUAUAACCCUCAAGCUCAGCUUGGUGUUGGGGCCUGCUGCACUGGCAGCCCUUAAAAUCAGUGGCGGCGCCAUCUGGCUCUAAGCGUAGUAAUUCUUCUCGCUAUGGAGUCCUGGUGGAUGCUUGCCAUCAACCCCCAAUUUUUCUAUGGUUGACCUCGGAUCAGGUAGGGAUACCCGCUGAACUUAAGCAUAUCAAUAAGCGGAGUA